rnacentral:rRNA from 1 species
GACGAACGCUGGCGGCGUGCCUAAUACAUGCAAGUAGAACGCUGAAGGAGGAGAUCGCUCUUCUGGAUGAGUUGCGAACGGGUGAGUAACGCGUAGGUAACCUGCCUGGUAGUGGGGGAUAACUAUUGGAAACGAUAGCUAAUACCGCAUAAUAACAGUUGUUGCAUGACAACUGUUUGAAAGGUGCAAUUGCAUCACUACCAGAUGGACCUGCGUUUUAUUAGCUAGUUGGUGGGGUAACGGCUCACCAAGGCGACGAUACAUAGCCGACCUGAGAGGGUGAUCGGCCACACUGGGACUGAGACACGGCCCAGACUCCUACGGGAGGCAGCAGUAGGGAAUCUUCGGCAAUGGACGAAAGGCUGACCGAGCAACGCCGCGUGAGUGAAGAAGGUUUUCGGAUCGUAAAGCUCUGUUGUAAGAGAAGAACGAGUGUGAGAGUGGAAAGUUCACACUGUGACGGUAUCUUACCAGAAAGGGACGGCUAACUACGUG